GCUUCCAGCUUUUCCCUUCCUUUGUUUUUUUUUUCCUUUCUUUUUUUGAAUAAAAGAUUCAUAGUCCUUGGCUCUUUUGUUUUAUGGUUUUUACUUAUUGGAGUUUCUCGCUCAGGUCAAACUCCACAUCAACUAUUUUCUGUUUUUAAAUUUUGUUUCAACUUAGUUAGUUAGUUAACAAUGUUUGUUAAUUAGUUGGACAGCUGUCUUAAUUUGAUUGGUCUAGUCUUCUUUGUAUCUGUAUAAGCAAGCUUCUAUAUAUAGGAGAGCUUAGCUCUGUUUCGUGGUCUUUGUAAGUUUCUGAGAACUUUCUCAAGAGAGAAAUAGUAGCAAGAAGAUAAAAUUCAUUAUCUUAAAAUUUCUUUUUCUUAAUUUAAUAUCAGAGCAGAGAAAUCUUCAACAGUGGCAGAUAAAGUUCCACAUCCUCUGCCAUCUAAUUUUCUUAGUAUCUCAGAGGUCGAUCUUGUGCGCACUGAUCUGAUUUCUAUUUCACCGUUUCCCAACAUAAUACUCAAGCUUGAUGCUGGUAAUUUUCUGAUCUGGAAGCUUCAAGUCCUGCCGAUUCUGAGAGGCCAUAAGCUGGACAAAUUUGUGCUUAAAGAUGAACCACCGUUUAUGCAAGAAAUUGGUGCCCUAGAGUGCAAAAUUGACGAAAUAAAUUCUUAAUCGUUACUCUUCGGAACACGUCUCUGGAUUCUACAUGAUCAAUUGCUUCAAGGUUGGAUUGUAGCAGCAAUUUUUUCUUUUAUAGCUAGAUUGGUGAUAGAUUUGAAAACUUCUCAUCGAAUUUGGUGAGUUUUUGAGCUGAAUUAUGCUUCCAAAUCAAUGAUGAACUUGCUGCAGAUGUGUAUAGUUGCAGAAUAGGAAAAAGGGAUCGAACAAUAUAGCUUCAUAUUUCUUGAAGAUGAUGUCUAUGGCUGAUCAAAUGGCAGCUGAAGGAGGUUUUGUUCCAGAAGAAGAUCUUGUUUCUUACAUCUUAAGAAGUCUUGGACCAAAGUAUGAAAUGCUAAUAGUCAGUCUGCAACACGUUCAACACCCCCAAGUCUUGAGGAGGUAAAACAACAUCUUAUUUACUAUGAAGAUCGUCUUGAAGUUCAAAAUUGUGCUGGUGUAAUGGAUUUUGUACCAAAUCUUGCAAGCUCUCCUGUAAAUUUGGUUGGAUUAGAUCUGUUACACAGUAAAAUUCAUGAUUUACCCUCAAAUCCUGUGUCUAAUUCUACCUCUAUGUUAAUUGCCACACUUUUGGUGAAUAAAAAUUCUCUGAAUGGUAGUACCAAUUUGUUACCGGUUAGCCCUUCUUCCUCCGUAAUUAUAACAAAUGCUUUUGAUGUUUCAAAUGAUUUUGUGGUUUCAAAGUCUAAAAGCAAGAAUAAAUUCAGAAAUAGGAGACGUUAAUGUCAAAUUUGUUAACGAAUGGGACAUACUGCUAAUGUUUGCUAUUUUAGACAUAGCAAAUCACCUCAAUCUGUGACGUGUUCAACUGUACCACCAUUUGCUAUGAGCAGUCUACAAUUUUUAGGAUAUGGGGCAUCAUCACCUUUGUAAUAUGGUACAUCAUUUAACAAUCAAUUUGGGCAUCAAAUGAGAAAUUCAGCCUUUAUGUUACCUAGUUUUGUACCGUCAACUGGUCAGACUUUCAUUCCUACUAUGCCACAAUGGCAUCCUCACCCAUUACCAGUUUCACAGGUUGUUUCAGCCUCAUAGAUUGAACCACCAAGAGACAAUAAAUCUUUUAAGAAUCAUUCAGCACUAUUUACUACUCCUCUUUUGGCUCGAGACACAAACUGGUAUCUUGAUAGUGGAGCUAUAAAUCAUGUAGCAGCUACAAGUACUGGCUUGCUCCAAUACUUUGAUUAUAAUGGAUAAGCAGCUAGGAGUGAUUGUUCUUAAAGGAAUUUUUGAUGCUGGACUAUACAAAUUGGAAUUGCCAUGGUCAAACUCUGCUGUGAUUCAAGAAGAUGCUGAUCAAAAGAAAUUUUAUCCCUUUCAAAAAGUUUAAGCCACUGAGAUUUCCAAUAAGAAGCCUCUAUAUAAUCAACAAGUUGCAGAUGUUGGACUUCCAGCUUUUUCUAAAAUGAAGUCUUGUGAUAACCAGUCAGCUUUGUAGAUUUUCUUUCCUUUUAAGAAAUACUCUCUGUUACUGCUUUUUCCAGUUCAAGAGAUAAUCUGUCUUAUAUUACUUGUAAUGCUCUUGCUGUCAAUAGUAAUAAGAAUGUUGAUGACAACUUUAACGUUUUACAUCAGAGAAUAGGACAUCCUUCAGUUGUAUUACUAUGGGAAGUGUUAACUCUUUGUAAUAAGUUUUUUUCUAAUAAAGAGAUUCUUCAAUUUUGUGAA